rnacentral:hammerhead_ribozyme from 1 species
ACCCAGCUGACGAGUCCCAAAGAGGAUGAAACGCGCGUCCUCAAU